AUAAUGAUACUUCUGUCUCGUCCUAAAGUCGAGCGUGAUAAAACCGUCGCAACAAAGGAGGGCAGCCCGGAGAGAUCCUCGGGGAGGUGAAAUUCCUAUGA
rnacentral:ncRNA from 1 species